rnacentral:rRNA from 1 species
UACGGAAGGCAGCAGUGGGGAAUAUUGCACAAUGGGCGAAAGCCUGAUGCAGCUAUGCCGCGUGUAUGAAGAAGGCCUUAGGGUUGUAAAGUACUUUCAUCGGGGAGGAAAAACAAAACUAAUAAUUUUAUUUCUUGACGUUACCCGAAAAAGAAGCACCGGCUAACUCCGUGCCAGCAGCCGCGGUAAUACGGAGGGUGCUAGCGUUAAUCAGAAUUACUGGGCGUAAAGAGCACGUAGGUGGUUUUUUUAAGUCAGAUGUGAAAUCCCUGGGCUUAACCUGGAACUGCAUUUUGAAACUGAAAUACUAGAGUAUCGUAGAGGGAGGUAGAAUUCUAGGUGUAGCGGUGAAAUGCGUAGAUAUCUGGAGGAAUACCUGUGGCGAAAGCGGCCUCCUAAACGAAUACUGACACUGAGGUGCGAAAGCUGGGGAGCGAAACAGGGAUUAGAUACCCGU